UUCAUUGUUUUAGUCCCAUUAAGGGAAACUAGAGUUUGUCUACUUUGGACAAAACGUAUGUAUUUUCCAUUUUCAAUGUCUGAUGGCGUUUUAUUACUCUGGUGCCUAUCGAGAGCACUAAUCACUCAGUAAAAUGUCUCUCCGUUUCCAUGGUGUUGGGGGAAGACACAUGUCAAAAUAGUCUUCUAGAUUGACUGACUCUGAUUUACUCCCUAGAUUGAAUGGAUGGAUAAGGCGAGAGGGGUUGAUGCCUGGGAGAUUGUUGGGGAAAUCAAACAGGGCGAUCUUAUAAACGAGCAUUGACAGAGCAACUCCCCUUCAAGAGAAAAAAGCCCAGGUGUUUUUGUCUUGGUCUGAAGUUCACUUCCAGAUGUGGAGAGUGGUUGGCCUUACGCACACGGUCAUUCAGAGACGGGCUGGUUUCAGGCCAGUUUAAGGUUGCGGUCUUGCUUCUGUGUCUGCUUCCGGAAGGAGCUCACGUGACCUCUGGGGACCAGAAGGAUGAGUUCGCCUGCAGGAGGGGAGAUGAGGUAACUGAGGCACAGAGAAAUGAAGCGACUUGCCCGAAGC